rnacentral:rRNA from 1 species
AGCCUGAACGCUGGCGGCGUGGCUAAGACAUGCAAGUCGCACGGGGUAGCAAUACCCAGUGGCGAACGGGAGAGUAAUGAAUCGCUAAUGUACCCCGGACUCUGAGAUAGCUGCCCGAAAGGGCAGGUAAUAUCAGAUGACAUAACCGCACGGCAUCGUGUGGUUCUCAAAGGUCCGCCGGUCUGGGAGCAGGCGAUUUCGUAUCAGCUAGUUGGUGAGGUAACGGCUCACCAAGGCGACGACGCGUAGCCGGACUGAGAGGUUGAACCGGCCUCAUUGGGACUGAGACACUGCCCAGACUCCGUACGGGGGGCUGCAGUAACGAAUCUUCCGCAAUGCACGAAAGUGUGACGGAGCGACGCCGCGUGUGGACGAAGCCCGUUCGGGGUCGUAAACCGACGUCGUCGAGGGGUUACCAAGUUCCGUAGGACGGACGCCCCGAGGACGGAAGGCGACGGCUAACUCUGUCGCCAGCGAGCCG